GGGAUUAGAUACCCUGUUAUUCUGAGAAAUAAAUUCUGAUAAACUGCAAGGGUACUACGAGCACAUGCUUAAAAUCCAAAGAACUGGCGGUGCUUUAAUUCAACUAGGGGAACCUGUCCUCUAACUCGAUAAUCCACGAAAACCUUACCUGUACUAGAAACAGGAAUAAUUCUUUAUUCCAAAUCAGCCUGUAUACCAUCGUCGUCAGCUAGUGUAUAAAAAAACAAAAACUAGCAAAAAAGAUUUAAUUUCUUUCUACAGUACCUUUAAACCUCUAAAGACAGAUCAAGGUGCAGCCUACGAACAGGGGCGAGAUGGGUUACAAUUUUCUAAAUUAAAUUGGAUCUUUCUAUUGAAACCGGAAAAAGAAAUAGUACUUAGAAGUAAUUUUUUUAAAAAGUAAAGAAAUGAAUAGGAGAUAAAGCGCGUACAAAUCGCCCGUCACUCUCUG
rnacentral:rRNA from 1 species